AAAAAAAAAAAAAAAAAAAAAAAAAAUCCCUCUUAAAUCAUUCAGUGCCUCUCUAAUGUAUUCGCAGCGUGGACGACGGAACAAGAUCUGAAACACUCCUUUUUCCAGUCAGACUAUUAACCGGUGACACUUUGACACCGGCAAGAAGUAUGGCAGAUUAAAAAGUAAAAACCGCGCGGAAAUCUAAGUGCCUUCACAUAGCGCCGGAAUAAAAAUUGCUGUUAGGAGCAUUAAAAUAGAGCCCCUGUCAGCAGCGAUGGAUUCCAGGGACGUGCCUGCUGCUCCCUGCGAGGGAAAAGGAGAGCAGGGAGAGCUCCGAGGGGAAAUGUGCACUGAGCAUCUCCUGCUGAGAUCCCGAGCUCUCCCAGCCUUCCCGCAUCUCCUGCAUCCAGGGAAAGCGUGAAAAUCCCGCCUGG
rnacentral:lncRNA from 12 species